rnacentral:rRNA from 1 species
AUCCCGCGAACCAUCGAGUUUUUGAACGCAAGUUGCGCCCGAGGCCUUCUGGUCGAGGGCACGCCUGCCUGGGCGUCA